GCAAGUCCAACGGUGAACCAGGAGCUUGCUCUUGGGGAUCAGUGGCGAACGGGUGAGUAACACGUGAGCAACCUGCCCCUGACUCUGGGAUAAGCGCUGGAAACGGCGUCUAAUACUGGAUACGAGACGUGAUCGCAUGGUCAACGUUUGGAAAGAUUUUUCGGUUGGGGAUGGGCUCGCGGCCUAUCAGCUUGUUGGUGAGGUAAUGGCUCACCAAGGCGUCGACGGGUAGCCGGCCUGAGAGGGUGACCGGCCACACUGGGACUGAGACACGGCCCAGACUCCUACGGGAGGCAGCAGUGGGGAAUAUUGCACAAUGGGCGCAAGCCUGAUGCAGCAACGCCGCGUGAGGGAUGACGGCCUUCGGGUUGUAAACCUCUUUUAGCAGGGAAGAAGCGAGAGUGACGGUACCUGCAGAAAAAGCGCCGGCUAACUACGUGCCAGCAGCCGCGGUAAUACGUAGGGCGCAAGCGUUAUCCGGAAUUAUUGGGCGUAAAGAGCUCGUAGGCGGUUUGUCGCGUCUGCUGUGAAAUCUGGGGGCUCAACCCCCAGCCUGCAGUGGGUACGGGCAGACUAGAGUGCGGUAGGGGAGAUUGGAAUUCCUGGUGUAGCGGUGGAAUGCGCAGAUAUCAGGAGGAACACCGAUGGCGAAGGCAGAUCUCUGGGCCGUAACUGACGCUGAGGAGCGAAAGGGUGGGGAGCAAACAGGCUUAGAUACCCUGGUAGUCCACCCCGUAAACGUUGGGAACUAGUUGUGGGGUCCAUUCCACGGAUUCCGUGACGCAGCUAACGCAUUAAGUUCCCCGCCUGGGGAGUACGGCCGCAAGGCUAAAACUCAAAGGAAUUGACGGGGACCCGCACAAGCGGCGGAGCAUGCGGAUUAAUUCGAUGCAACGCGAAGAACCUUACCAAGGCUUGACAUAUACGAGAACGGGCCAGAAAUGGUCAACUCUUUGGACACUCGUAAACAGGUGGUGCAUGGUUGUCGUCAGCUCGUGUCGUGAGAUGUUGGGUUAAGUCCCGCAACGAGCGCAA
rnacentral:rRNA from 1 species